CCUACGGGGGGCAGCAGUGGGGGAUAUUGGACAAUGGGGGGAACCCUGAUCCAGCGACGCCGCGUGAGUGAAGACGUAUUUCGGUAUGUAAAGCUCUGUCAGCAGGGAAGAAAGAAAUGACGGUACCUGACCAAGAAGCCCCGGCUAACUACGUGCCAGCAGCCGCGGUAAUACGUAGGGGGCAAGCGUUAUCCGGAAUUACUGGGUGUAAAGGGAGCGUAGACGGUUAAGUAAGUCUGGAGUGAAAGGCCGGGGCUCAACCCCGGGACUGCUAUGGAAACUAUUUAACUUGAGUGCAGGGGAGGUAAGCGGAAUUCCUAGUGUAGCGGUGAAAUGCGUAGAUAUUAGGAGGAACACCAGUGGCGAAGGCGGCUUACUAGACUGUAACUGACGUUGAGGCUCGAAAGCGUGGGGAGCAAACAGGAUUAGAUACCCUGGUAGUC
rnacentral:rRNA from 1 species